rnacentral:tRNA from 3 species
CGGGUCGUAGCUUAAUCGGUAGAGCACGGCAAAAGCGUUGCCGAGGAUCUGGUUCGAAUCCAGACGACCCGACCA